rnacentral:rRNA from 1 species
GACGAACGCUGGCGGCGUGCUUAACACAUGCCAGUCGAACGGAAAGGCUCUGCUUGCAGGGUACUCGAGUGGCGAACGGGUGAGUAACACGUGGGUGAUCUGCCCUGCACUUCGGGAUAAGCCUGGGAAACUGGGUCUAAUACCGGACAGGAGCCAUUUUUAGCGUGAUGGUUGGAAAGUUUUUUCGGUGUAGGAUGAGCUCGCGGCCUAUCAGCUUGCUGGUGGGGUAAUGGCCUACCAAGGCGGCGACGGGUAGCCGGCCUGAGAGGGUGGACGGCCACAUUGGGACUGAGAUACGGCCCAGACACCUACGGGAGGCAGCAGUGGGGAAGAUUGCACGAGGGGCGCAAGCCUGAUGCAGCGACGCCGCGUGGGGGAUGACGGCCUUCGGGUUGUAAACUCCUUUCGCUAGGGACGAAGCUUUUUGUGACGGUACCUAGAUAAGAAGCACCGGCUAACUACGUG